AUUGAACGCUGGCGGCAUGCCUUACACAUGCAAGUCGAACGGCAGCACGGGUGCUUGCACCUGGUGGCGAGUGGCGAACGGGUGAGUAAUAUAUCGGAACGUGCCCAGUCGUGGGGGAUAACGUAGCGAAAGUUACGCUAAUACCGCAUACGAUCUACGGAUGAAAGCGGGGGAUCGCAAGACCUCGCGCGAUUGGAGCGGCCGAUAUCAGAUUAGGUAGUUGGUGGGGUAAAGGCUCACCAAGCCAACGAUCUGUAGCUGGUCUGAGAGGACGACCAGCCACACUGGAACUGAGACACGGUCCAGACUCCUACGGGAGGCAGCAGUGGGGAAUUUUGGACAAUGGACGCAAGUCUGAUCCAGCCAUUCCGCGUGCAGGAUGAAGGCCCUCGGGUUGUAAACUGCUUUUGUACGGAACGAAAAGGUUUCCAUUAAUACUGGGAGCUCAUGACGGUACCGUAAGAAUAAGCACCGGCUAACUACGUG
rnacentral:rRNA from 1 species